rnacentral:rRNA from 1 species
CCUACGGGAGGCAGCAGUGAGGAAUAUUGGUCAAUGGCCGAAAGGCUGAACCAGCCAAGUCGCGUGAAGGAAGAAGGACCUAUGGUUUGUAAACUUCUUUUAUAGGGGAAUAAAGGUAUCCACGUGUGGAUAUUUGCAUGUACCCUAUGAAUAAGCAUCGGCUAACUCCGUGCCAGCAGCCGCGGUAAUACGGAGGAUGCGAGCGUUAUCCGGAUUUAUUGGGUUUAAAGGGUGCGUAGGUUGUUGUUUAAGUCAGCGGUGAAAGUUUGGGGCUCAACCAUAGAAUUGCCGUGGAAACUGGAAAACUUGAGUGGGCGAGAGGAAAGCGGAAUGCGAGGUGUAGCGGUGAAAUGCAUAGAGAUAACGCAGAACUCCGAUUGCGAAGGCAGCUUACUGGUCCAUAACUGACGCUGAGGCACGAAAGCGUGGGGAUCAAACAGGAUUAGAUACCCCUGUAGUC